AGCGAACGCUGGCGGCAGGCCUAACACAUGCAAGUCGAACGAACCUUUCGGGGUUAGUGGCGGACGGGUGAGUAACACGUGGGAACGUGCCUUUAGGUUCGGAAUAACUCAGGGAAACUUGUGCUAAUACCGAAUGUGCCCUUCGGGGGAAAGAUUAAUCGCCUUUAGAGCGGCCCGCGUCUGAUUAGCUAGUUGGUUGAGGUAAUGGCUCACCAAGGCGACGAUCAGUAGCUGGUAUGAGAGGAUGAUCAGCCACAUUGGGACUGAGACACGGCCCAAACUCCUACGGGAGGCAGCAGUGGGGAAUCUUGCGCAAUGGGCGAAAGCCUGACGCAGCCAUGCCGCGUGAAUGAUGAAGGUCUGAGGAUUGUAAUAUUCUUUCACCUGUGACGAUAAUGACGGUACCCGGUGAAGAAGCCCCGGCUAACUUCGUG
rnacentral:rRNA from 1 species